rnacentral:lncRNA from 1 species
GUUGCGGGCGGAACUGAGCGCACGCGAGGCUCGAAGGCGACUGCAGUCGGCCCUUCCCGGAGUCCCGCUUCGGGGCCGUCCCUGGGCGCUGCGCGUUGGUCCGCCCGAGUCUUGGGGUGGCUUGGGAGAAUGGGUUUGGGGCUCAGGCCUCGAGGUUGCCAAGAGCCUCGCGCUUCCUCAUUUUCCCGCCAGGUCAACGUAACCCGGCAUUUCUCCGAGGAGAGGCCUAAAAAUGAGUGGGGCUGCCGCCCGACUCCUGUGAGAGCCUCGGGGCUUCCAUUCCCGACACCAGGAGGAAAGACCGGCAUUUCUUCCUCGGGCGAAGAACCCAGGUUGAACUUAUUUUUGUUCUUAGUUCUGAGGACUGAACCUAGAGGCUCACACAUGCUAAAUAUUUACUCUACCACUGAAGCAAUCUCCUGGCCCUCAAAUUCUUAAGUUAUAAAACAAGAAAAUUUUUGAUAUGGUUUCCUGGAUGAAACAGUGACAAAAUCAAGAGAGCUAACCUUGCUUACCCUGCCCAACCCACUUGUGUGAUAUGUUAGCUCCCUGGUCCCUGCUUGAUUCAGACACUACAGAAGAUGUGGGCAUUCUGGCUUCAUUGAUGUGAUGUGCUCUCUAUGAAUUAAAAUUGCAAUUAAUUAUUUUACAUGAAAAUAUGCCUUCUAUGAGAGUGAUACAGACUUCAGCAAAUUUUAACAACUUAUUUUGUAUAUUAACAUUUAUUAAAGACUUUCUUGGUACUAGA